CAAGAGACAUGUGUUUAUGAUCGUCCUUUGACCUACUUAUUUCCUGCCGGUUUCCUAUCCCUUUCUCUUCAGACUCCGCUAGACCACGCACCCCUCGCCACACCUUUCUUAAUUGACUUCAAGAUUUUAAUGGAAAUGUAAUUUCAAUACAUUUCCAGUAGCUAAUAAAUUAUUAUUGCCAGUAUCUGAAAAUGUGUAACUACUCCUUAAAAUGAAUGAUCUGUUCCACCUGCUCCUCCUGUAGGUCCAGCAGAGCCUGAUGAUGUUCCUGGUGGAGUCCCGCGAGCGCCUGGAUGACAUCCACAAACGGCGAGGUUGGCGGAGUUUGCAUGGUGGCGGCGUUCUCCUUCCCUCCCGGCACCACUGUAAUACGUUUGGGAUAAUGGAAGGAAGGAGACAGAGUUGGCGUAGCUGGAUUGGAGUCACAGCGUGGAAUCAUUUAUGGGAAAAACCUCCAUACAUGAGCUGAAUUCAACAUUCCCGAAGCCCUGCUUAGAGAUGCAAAGACAAAAUGUGGGCAUUAAUUGAAUGGACAGAAAUGGACGCUUCUCUGGACACUUUAAGGAAAAAAGACAUUCUUCAAUCUGUAGUUCACAAGGGGGAUGUUGUUGAUGUCAAGUAUGAAGAUGACAGCUCUCCUGCUCUUAUUCUCAAGCUGAAUGAAAAUAAGCACAAGCUACUGAAACGUCUAAAUCAGAUGGAGUCAGAGAGAUGACAAAAGAGGAGUGCAAGCCGCCCGAAAGAGAGCAAUAAAAAGGAAAAUAAUAUUUAGCCCAGAAAACAGCCCACUAUCAAGUCCAGAAAAGAUUUAAAACAGUUGAAAAAACAUAAAAUGACACGCUGUUUCUUAAAAAAAUAGAAGAAAAAGCAAAGAAAAUGACAGAAUACCUGUAAAUGACAUGAGAAAAGAAAUCAAAGCCUUGAGAGCAGAGAAUCAGCAAUUAAAGGCCCUGAACUUUAAACUGCAAAAUGAGAUUAUUACCAGAAUUGCGAAGUUGCUGCCAGUCAGCAGUGUAAACAAGCAUGCUGUGCCAACCUCCCUAACAAGUUCAGCUUGCUGUGCUACCCUUCAACCAGACAACUCUUCACAUAGUUCUUCUGAAUUGGACCAUGUUGAAAUCCACAGAAAACGAAACAAGGAUACAUUCCAAGUGUGGUAGUAGAGGGGGCACAUCAUGGUCAGCCAUGAUCAAGGAUUUAGCCGUGGCUGUUUUUGGGAGGAGCAUGUUAGCUACCCGUAGCCUUUCUGCAAAAUUUUGAAAUGCCAACAAAGAAUCACAAGCCAAGCCUCAUUUGGACCCACACACGUGGAAGACACUGUUCAGAAGAAAUUUCCAGCAACUCCCCAAAAGCUCCUUAGGGCUGCUUUACGGGAAAAAAAUAAUGAUGAACAUAAACUUCUUAGCAGGUUUUACAUUCUAAUUUAUGUUUAAUAUUUUAAGUGUUAUACACAUUUUGUUUCACACCUAAUCUGUAAGAUGAUCAUUUACCGUUCUUAUAUUUACAGUACCUUAUAUUUGAGCAUUUAUAUAUGUACUGUAUACUCAUAUUUCUCAGGCAACAUCAGAAGGACACUGUUACGCUGCAACACUGAGUGGACAUAAGAGGGCAAAUUCACUACAACAUAGCAUGCAUUAUUAAUACAUGUUUUAUCAGCUAAGUUUUGUCUCUCUUUUUCCAGAGUCCAGAGUAAUCGGUUUCUGCAGAAUGAUGGGCCACGUUCUGUUCAGAGGGUUCCUUUUCUUCCCACUUGUCUCAUCUUUCCAUGCUCUUUUGACUAAUAAAUAAUUAAUAAUGAACAUUUUAUGAAGUCGUUUGUCAUUUUUUGUUGGUAUUUAAAUUUGAGACACAUACCAUUGCUUUUUAAAAGUGUUUUGUUAUACAGAAGGCCCUGAAUAUCCCUUUAGUAGUCCAACAGGAUGAGUACACAUAAUAGUUCAUUAGAAUUUCAGCAGAAGUCCUGUAGGAACUGAACACUUUAGCUUUCCUGUAGGAGUCCUGUAGGGUUCAUUCAGGAGUCCUUCGUGUUUCCUGUAGGAGUCCCACAGGAAAAUGAUCACGGAAAUCCUGUGGGAUCCUCCAGGAAUCUGCAGGUGUGCAGGAUUAUUCCUUCAUGAUUUCCUGCAGGAUUUUUUGUAAGGGCGGGCGUGGCACUUUGCUUGAAAGUGACCAAUAGAGAGGUCUUUCGUCCUGGCGUGAAGAGACCGCCCACUGAGAUACAGCUUUAUUCGCAAGCAAAACUUUUCAACUUUUAUAGCACUAUGUGAAGCGACAUUGAGCUAUGGAAAGGCGCUAUAUAAAUAAAACUUCUUCACACCGGAGAGAAACCGUUCACAUGCCAACAGUGUGGAAAGACUUUCACAGUUGAAAGUUCCCUUAAGAAACACGUGAGAACUCACACUGAAGAGAAACCAUAAACAUGCCAUCAGUGUGGAAAGAGUUUCAGAUGAGAAGCUAGUCUCAGAUCUCAGCAGUGUUUUUACUCUGAUCAGUGCUGUUUAAAGUUGAUUUCUGCAUCACAUCUAAAGAUACACCUGAGUAAACAUGCAACUUUAAAGUCUUGUGGACUGAUUGUGGCCUGUUUGAAAGCUCGUGAGAAAAUGAACCUUGUUUAUGUAAACACUUUGGUGGUGUUAAAUUCCCCCUGUGAUGAGAAUUAAAAUGUUAAAGUUGUUUAAUUGUCUGUGUGGUGUUUUUAAGAUGUUUUAAGAUGAAUCAUGUGCACACUCAUCAGUCACAUUGCUCAGUGUUUUCUGCAGAUGGUCUCUCACUGCACAAGACCAGAUGUGGCAUUUACACGUUUAUGUUUAUACGCGCUCGCAGAUGUACUGUUCUGUCAAACAACAGGACAACUCUGAGUAAUCGAGUCUAAAUCAACACAAAGCUGCACUGAAAUAUUGUUUGUUGGAAAAACUCAUCCCUUCUGAAAAUGAACCAUAGUCUACUAUGAUUAACCCUGAGCCUGAAACAUCAAACAAUAGCCAGAAAAUGAUAUAGUUUUAAUUUAAGUGUUUAUUGGAACUUUUGACAAAGUCAUUGACAAACAACAUUUUUAUGAUAUUUUGUUUAUGUGAUGUUUUGAUUAUGAUAGAUCGUAGGAUCUGAAUUUCUUAAAAGCAACCUGUGUGUGUGUUUGUUGUCUAAAGAUGAUGAAAUUCUGACUUGAGAGUACAAACAUACAUUUUGUGUUGUAUUUAUUUUCUUAUCCUUUUAUUCUUUAUUUUGCUAUAUAUUUAUUAGUUAUAGAUUAUAUUCACUUCUUUGUUAUAUUCUACAUUCUGUUGGAUGCUGCAUUUGUUUUGUCUUCACAAGUAGAUAUGAGUUUGCAGUGGUCUCGUGCUCAAGGUUCAUAACGUCACGAGACGAUGCUGUGAAGCAGUCAUUUUCCACUGUCUAUGUUGGUAUAAUAACACCUGCUCAUUGUGUUUCUAGUCAAAGUCGCCGGCGAUAGAGUCAACGGGUUAGAAUGGGCAUCUGAACGCAACUGUUUUCUCUCUACAAUAAACUUUGGUCAUUUUAUUAUAACUUCACUUCGUCUCCUGCCUGCUGUUCUUCCCCUCUGACAUCCAAGUCUGCAGGGUAGUUAGAUCUAUCAGUUUCGGCUUAUGAACAAGAUGGAACAACACUAUAGGUAUCAUUUUGGAUCAAUAACAAGAUAAUCAGAACUAUCAAUUACAUCUAUGUUUAUUUUAAAAACUACAUUAUUAAUGCCAUUUAAAACAUUUAAUUUGAUUUUAUACUCAAAUAGGACCUUUUUACAACCCUGAUUUGCCAUCUAUAUUUAUACUGAUAACAUCUGCAGCACCGUACAGGACUUAUUUUCUUUGGUCAAUUUGCUCAUCAAGAAAAUGCAUCUUGAUUCAAUAAUUUUUAGAUAUUUGCCCUGGAAAACAAAACAAAGAAACCUUGAAAGUUUUUUGCAGUGUUAGUUAUUCUAAAAAUCGAAAACGUUCUUUCUAUCAAACACGUGUCAGUAAAGUCACUAAAUGAAGUCAGACAUUUUGGAAAUAACAUUCAAAAGCUCACUAAGGCUUGCAUGCACUUAUGAUUAAUCAGAGGACGGAAGACACGUGUCAGAUUGAUCUGAGAGAGGUCUAGAAACUCAUGUAUUAAAUAUGAUACAAAUAGCUUUAUAUGGUUAAGGAACUUAAAGAAAACAAGUGAUAACACAAAUGUGAAUCUGCCACAAAAAAACACCGAUUACUACAGUAAAAUCAUAGUUAAUAAUCAUAAGAGAUGAUUAACGUAAACAAAAUGAAAUCAAGACAGGAAACAGUCUGUCUUUACGUUAGAACAGCGGUCCUCAACUAUGGACCUCAAGAUUCACUUUCUUGCAGAGUCUUUUUACAGCAAAACUUCAAGUGAGAUUUCCUGAGAGCUGUAAUCAAUCCAUCACAUAAAACCCUCUGGCAGCGCUGUGACCGGGUUACUUUAACACACAAACCAUUGUUGACGACCGCUCCGUGUCCGGCUUCACUUCUUCACUCUUUAGCUCAUAUUCAUUCCCACCCGCUGGCUGUUAGUCAUGCUCCGUGUCUGGCUUUACCUCUCAUGGAGUGUAAGGCAUUUUUUCUGAGACAGUGGUCCUUAAAGAGAGAUUUCCUGAGAGAGAAUUUUGUAUGUGUCAGUAUGUUUUAUCUCUAUGACCUGACCUCGGCCCUGAUCGAUAAUCGAUAAUUUUGUCAUAAAUGAAGCAUGUUAAAGGUCUGGAGUUGAUUCUACAUGUGGUGUUUGCAUUUGGAAGCUGUUGCUGUGACCCCACAUCAUGGGGUUCAGGGAGAUCUCCAUGCAAGUGAAACAGACCAUAGUUAGAUUUCAAAAACACUACACAUCCGUCAGAAAGAUGCCAGGAACAUUAAGAGCGGCCCAAUCAACAAUUUGGUACAUUCUAAGAAAAAAAAAACACACCGCUGAGCUCAGUAACAAAACAAUCCUAGGUGUCCAUAUGAGAUCAAAGUGGUGGAUGAUGACAUUAUCCUCUCCAUGAUAAAGAAAAACACCUUCACAACGUCCGGACCAUCUUCGUUCCAUUUGAGUUGUUUUAUCGGGUCAUGUUUUUAAAUGUCAGAACACUACCCUGUUGCUGACAACUGAUUAAAUGACAAGAAACGCCUAUUAACAAGCCAACCGGUGUAAGGCCUUAAUGCAACAGCUGGGGGCUAAGUCUGCUUACUGUACAGUGGCUGUUAAAAACGAUUUCCCAUACGAACGCGUUUGUUUUUCUAUUUACAUAUAGACUGUACAUGCUGCAUGCAUUCAGUAUAAAACGCUAUAAGCUUUUGACGAUCAAAAAUCUAAAAAUGAUGGAGACUGUUCACAUACAGAAACAAGGGAAAUGCUGACAAAAAAGCUAUUGCCGCGUUAUUAUUAUAUAGAUUUUUUUAGGUAACAAAAACGGCAUUGUAAAGGAAAAUAUAGGCCUGUUUUUAUAACCUAUUUAUUGGUAAAUACAGAACAAUAAGCAGCAAAGGUGCAAUAAGAACAAAACAUUUUUCCCUUCAUGAUAAAAGGAUAGCCUAUAGCCUACAUACCGCCAUCUUAAGCUAAAUUGUAAAACGAAAAUAAAAGAUUUACGGAUUCUCAAUUACAACGAAACUCGAAAUGAAAUAAAAACAUUGUUCACACACAGUCGGCUAACUGUGCAGUACGUAUAAGCAGUGUUGGGUGUAACGCGUUACUAAGUAACGCGUUACUGUAAUUAAAUUACUUAUCCACUGAAAAAGUAGAGUAAUUGAUUACUGUUAAUUUUUAGGUAAUUUCAUUACAGUUACUUAUAAUGUACUUGCGUUACAUAUUGUAAAUUAAUUUAACUGUUUUGAAUAAAUCAUUAUUUAAUUUAAAAUCUUAAUGUAUUAUCUAAAGGUAAAAGUGAACGCUGGCCCUUUAAAAUCGUUAGCGGUAGACGCUGUUGCGUGUGAUUUCGAGCCAGUUUGAUGCGUAACAGUGUCGUUGUUUGAAGUGGAAGAUGUCGGACUCGGCAGAAGCGAUUGGCUGUUUUGCCAAAUGGAAAUAUUCCAAUUACUUCACAUUUUUGACACAGGCAGAGAAGAACAUUACGGUAAAAUGUAAGCUAUGUCCUGGGGAGAAAAAACUAUCAGCCGCUGUCAAUAGCACGAGUAAUCUACUGAAGCACCUGACAAGGCAGCAUAGACGAACACUUUUCAGUGAUCCAUGUUCAUCGUCAUCGGCAGAUAACACUGCGGCAACCCCUGCUAAGCAGGCAAAACUUGUUUUUACAUCGGCAGUGCAGAAAGUGUCUGAAGGUGAGCUUAAAAAAAUGAUCGCAGGCUACAUAGUAGAAGAGAUGCUACCGCUGCGUACUGUAGAAUCUCCGUCUUUUAGGUGCAUAUUACUCAAAAUACCUGUGUGUGGCAAAAAAGCAGCUCUGUCUGAUCGAAAGACGUUUUCGUCUUACUUAGAUAAG